rnacentral:rRNA from 1 species
CAGUAGCCACGGUAAUACGGAGGGGGCUAGCGUUGUUCGGAAUUACUGGGCGUAAAGCGCACGUAGGCGGCUUGGUAAGUUAGAGGUGAAAGCCUGGAGCUCAACUCCAGAAUUGCCUUUAAGACUGCCGAGCUAGCAGGUGAGAGAGGUAAGUGGAAUUCCGAGUGUAGAGGUGAAAUUCGUAGAUAUUCGGAAGAACACCAGUGGCGAAGGCGGCUUACUGGCUCAUACUGGACGCUGAGGUGCGAAAGCGUGGGGAGCAAACAGGAUUAGAUACCCCUGUAGUCCCUGUCUCUUAUAA